GUGGCCCCGCCCGCAGCAGAUGGCGUCGCAGUUUUUGUCCUUGUAGCACUUGCGAGCCGCUGUGCCCGACGAGUACUUGCUGGGCCGGCAGAAACUGGCUGUUGGCCACACUGAGGAGGCACAUGUUAUCCAGAAGGAGACCGAGGGCAAAGUGCAACCAUUUGGAGACUGUGGAGUAUACAUGCUGUAGCAACAAGGUCGGGUCACGGGGGCAGCAGCCUAAGCAGAGAAGCCCAGACUUCCCUCUCCACAGCCACUUCAUCCAGCUCUUCCCAGGGGAUCCUGAGGAGUUACCAGGCCAGCCAGGAGACAUAGUCUCCCCAUUGUGUCCUGGGUCUUCCCUGUGAACUCCUACCGGUCGGACGUGCCUCAAACACCUUCCCAGAGAGCCAGGGACAUUCGGAUCAGAUGCCUGAACCACCUCACCUGGCUCCUCUCGAUGUGGAGGAGCAGCGGCUUUACUCUGAGC